CGGCGCCAAGUACACCGCCGCGAGGAAGUGAGGGGUGCCCGUAGUCCGGGCUAGCUGGCUGCUGGCCUGCGCCGAGAGGGGGGUUAGGGUGGACGAGGCGGAGCAUUCCGUAGACCAAGAGGCUGCAGAUCCAUCUCACGUUCAGCAGAACGCACUAAACGCACCACCACAGACACCUGAACCGAAAAAGAAUAUCUCUCAACCCGAAGAAAGAACAACAGAACCACAAACCAAAAUAACCGAACCGAAACCGAAAACACCGGAACCGGAAAUAAUAGAAACGAGAGCCACAACCCCAGAACCGAAAAGAAAACCGAAGAGUAAGACACCCGAGCCUCAAGAUUUAGAUGCAAAUAUGGUUGACGUUGAACAGAUGUUGCCUUCAGAUGUUGGUACUGCCGUGUCGCCGCGGCAGACCAAGAAGAAGUUUAAGAUCAAUACUAACAAAAACGAACAAUUUGAGGGGAUGUCCCCCGCGUCACGGUUCAUAGCCAUGCGUCGUAUGGGUAUGUUCAGCGACCACGAGGACAGCUCGAAGGAAAACACGCCGAAGAGACCCGACAACGAGU